rnacentral:rRNA from 1 species
UACGAAGGGGGCUAGCGUUGUUCGGAAUUACUGGGCGUAAAGGGCGCGCAGGCGGCCCUCCAAGUCUGGCGUGAAAGCCCCGGGCUCAACCCGGGAAUAGCGCUUGAGACUGGGGGGCUUGAGUUCGGGAGAGGAGAGUGGAAUUCCCAGUGUAGAGGUGAAAUUCGUAGAUAUCGUAAGGAAGACCAGUGGCGAAGGCGAAUCUCUGGACAGUUACUGACACUGAGGCACGAAGGCCAGGGGAGCAAACGGG